CUUAGGUCCUACCGGCUUGGGGAUGAUGUGAGGAUUUAGUGGGGAGGCACAGAAAGCUCAUGGAAGCUCACUCCCACAUGUGAGCUCUCAAACAGUAGAACCCUUUGCUUGUUGGGCUCCUUCCCAGUGUUCACCUCGGCUCACGUUGUGUGGGGGUCCCCCAGCUUCCCCAAACUGUGGGCUUUUCUCACCAGCUAAAACGUCGUAUGUCUGUGUGAGGCUUCCACUUCAGAAAAGGUUCUACUCUCCCAAAGAGUUCAGCUCUUCUAAUUUCUGGAAAGCUAGAAGUUAUUCCAGAGGGUCUCCAGCAGGCAGGCCCUGUUAUUCAGAGACCCCCGGCGGCUUCUUCCCAGUGGCUGGCCAGGUUACAGCCAUCUUUCCGCUGAAUCUCUCCGUGUCUCAGCUCCCUGCAUUUCAGGGCACCUCAGCACAUUGUCAAGCUGUUUGGCUUUGGACCGCAGAGCAGUCAAAUAUGUUUUCAAGGGAGAAAGGGGAAAAGGAUCCCCCCCGCCCCAGCAGAGACUUCUUGGGAUACAGCCACAGGCAUGGCUGGGUCUCCAGAUUGGAGCUGGAGCUGAGAAACAGUCUGGAUGACAGGCUGGUGAGAGACCACCGGUUCUCAGGGCCCUGCCUGGUGUGGUUCCUCCAGCAAAGGUUCCUUUGGCAUCACGGAAUAUCCGCUUGCUUCUGGAAAUGUCUUCAGCAUCUCCUCUCUCCCUCUGCCCCAGCGACACGGCUGGAUUCAGGAGAUUAAACAGCUUGCCCGAGAUCACAG
rnacentral:lncRNA from 1 species